rnacentral:rRNA from 1 species
AACGUAGGUGGCGAGCGUUAUCCGGAUUUACUGGGCGUAAAGCGUGUGCAGGCGGGUGGGCAAGUGGUGUAUGAAAGCACUGCGCUCAACGCAGUGACCGUAGGCCAGACUGACUAUCUGGAGGGCGAGAGAGGGGCGUGGAAUUCCGGGUGUAGUGGUGAAAUGCGUAGAGAUCCGGAGGAACCCCAGAGGCGAAGGCGGCGCCCUGGCUCGCAACUGACGCUCAGACACGACAGCAUGGGGAGCGAACGGG